rnacentral:rRNA from 1 species
CCCUUAGAUGUUCUGGGCGGCCCGCGCACUACAAUGGCGCUUUCAGCGAGUUCCUAUGUUGAAUUUUCCUGGGUAUUCUUGGAAGCGGCGUCUUGACUUGGGAUAGAUCCUUGUAAUUGUUGGUUUUGGACGAGGAAUUCCUUGUAAUCGCGGUUGAUCAGCUCGCGUUGAAUACGUCCCUGCCCUUUGUACACACCGCCCGUCGCUCCUACCGAUGAAUCGUCCGGUGAAGUUCACAGAGUGGCGGUUCGUGGAGUUGCUCGCGAAGUGAAAUGGACCUCACGAUUUAGAGGAAGGAGAAGUCGUAACA